CCAUGCGCUGCGGAUUGGGAGGUUGUAGGUUCGACUCGCAGCGGCGAAGCUUUUCGUUCUAGUUUUUUUUUCUUUGCCAUCUGUUAGUGUACAUUUUACGUCAUAUCCGUGACGAUAAUACGUCAGUGGAGCCGUGGUGGACCCCGGCAUAAAACACUUUCGUGUUAAAAAACAUGGCUGAUCGCUCCGUAAUAGGAGUCGGUAUAACACCAAUUAUAUGGACAGUCUCGGCUGAUUUUUGCCGUCGCCGUCGCCGUCGCCGCCGUCAUGCACCGUAUAUGUAUAGACAGACCGCUGUCAAAUGUUCACCUUUAAGUCAUAAACGGAACUGUUUGUUAAGCACGGACGAAUGAUUGUGCUGGACGUACAGUUGAUGCCUGGACAAGAAAGCGAGAAUAAGUAUCAUGACUGCCAAAGUACAGCACGUAUUAAAUAUUUC